UACGUAGGGCGCAAGCGUUGUCCGGAAUUAUUGGGCGUAAAGAGCUCGUAGGUGGUUUGUUACGUCUGCUGUGAAAACCUAGGGCUUAACCCUGGGCCUGCAGUGGAUACGGGCAGACUAGAAGUAGGUAGGGGAGAAUGGAAUUCCCGGUGUAGCGGUGAAAUGCGCAGAUAUCGGGAGGAACACCGGUGGCGAAGGCGGUUCUCUGGGCCUUACCUGACACUGAGGAGCGAAAGCGUGGGGAGCGAACAGG
rnacentral:rRNA from 1 species